rnacentral:rRNA from 1 species
UACGGGGGGGGCGAGCGUUGUUCGGAAUUACUGGGCGUAAAGGGCGCGUAGGCGGUUCGCUAAGUUGGAUGUGAAAACUCUGGGCUCAACCCAGAGCCUGCAUCCAAAACUGGCGGGCUAGAGUUCUGGAGGGGGUAGCGGAAUUCCUGGUGUAGCGGUGAAAUGCGUAGAUAUCGUAAGGAAGACCAGUGGCGAAGGCGGGUCUCUGGACAGUUCCUGACGCUGAGGCACGAAGGCCAGGGGAGCAAACGGG